rnacentral:rRNA from 1 species
AGGGUUUGAUUCUGGCUCAGGAUGAACGCUAGCUACAGGCUUAACACAUGCAAGUCGAGGGGUAGCAGGGUAGCAAUACCGCUGACGACCGGCGCACGGGUGAGUAACACGUAUCCAACCUUCCCCUUACUCAGGGAUAGCCUUUCGAAAGAAAGAUUAAUAUUUGAUAGUACUGAAUAUAGGCAUCUUUAUUCAGUUAAAGAUUUAUCGGUAAGGGAUGGGGAUGCGUUCCAUUAGAUAGUUGGUGAGGUAACGGCUCACCAAGCCUUCGAUGGAUAGGGGUUCUGAGAGGAAGGUCCCCCACAUUGGAACUGAGACACGGUCCAAACUCCUACGGGAGGCAGCAGUGAGGAAUAUUGGUCAAUGGGCGAGAGCCUGAACCAGCCAAGUAGCGUGAAGGAUGACUGCCCUAUGGGUUGUAAACUUCUUUUAUAAGGGAAUAAAGUGGAGAACGUGUUCUCCUUUGUAUGUACCUUACGAAUAAGGAUCGGCUAACUCCGUGCCAGCAGCCGCGGUAAUACGGAGGAUCCGAGCGUUAUCCGGAU